rnacentral:lncRNA from 1 species
CCGAAACGUCAUUAUGUGAUGCAGGACAGUUCUUACGUUGCUUCCCCUGAAGGCACAGCAACAAGGCCAGAAGAAGCAAGCUGGGAGGCAGAGGUGGAUGUGUUGGGGCUGAGACCGGCUCCAGGCUAACCCAGGCAGAGUCUGAUUCAGCGAUCGCUGGCGACUCCUCAGGACUGUUGCCCCAGCUCAUCCAUCUUUCUGCCACACGGAAGCCACCCGGUCCCUGCGUGGGUGGGGGCUCUCUGCAGCCCCCCGCCGAGGGAAGGUUGCAUCUGUUGCUUGGCCUUUUCUGCAGGCUGCCAACUCAGCAAGGAGCACGUCUCUCCAUGGAGAGGGAAAAUGUCACCAACUUGGCUUCCACGUCGAGCGUGUCGAGCGUGUGGAGGUCACUGGCCUGAUCGGGUGGCCGAGCUCAGUGCCCCUGGGGUGGGGGAGCAAACUCACGGGGGACGGAAGCUAUGAUACAUUCCUGCGGGGGACGGAUUUGCUACCAUCCAAUGCUCAGUCCACAGCAGCGCCCGACCAGGACUGGGAUCCUCUCUCUGCUUUUGUACUCGGGAGCCCUAGAAAUGGGAGCAUCGUCGUGUCUCUCAGCCCUGGAGUCGUCUAGAGCCCUCGGUCCCCCUGAGCCUGCACCUCACGCCAUCCUGCGCUAUCACCAGAUCCUGUUCCUGAGACGUGACUCUCGGCUCCUUCAGAGGCCGCACGGCACGGCGCACAGGUUUGGGGAUGGCAGACCUGGGUGGGCUCCCGGGCAAGUCACCCAAAGCCUCUCUAAACCUCAGACGUUCUCAGCUGUAAAGUGGGAUAAUACUUACACCCUUGGGUUGUUUUGAGGAUCAACUGAGACACAGGAAAAGCAACCAGCACGUAAUAGCGACUCGAUAAAUGCCAGCUGCGGUUAGUGCAGCCCCUCGUACCGUGUUCUGCAGCC